AACGAACGCUGGCGGCAUGCCUAACACAUGCAAGUCGAACGAGACCUUCGGGUCUAGUGGCGCACGGGUGCGUAACGCGUGGGAACCUGCCCUUAGGUUCGGAAUAACUCCCCGAAAGGGGUGCUAAUACCGGAUAAUGUCUUCGGACCAAAGAUUUAUCGCCUUUGGAUGGGCCCGCGUUGGAUUAGCUAGUUGGUAGGGUAAAAGCCUACCAAGGCGACGAUCCAUAGCUGGUCUGAGAGGAUGAUCAGCCACACUGGGACUGAGACACGGCCCAGAAUCCUACGGGAGGGAGGAGUGGGGAAUAUUGGGCAAUGGGCGAAAGCCUGGUCCAGCAAUGCCGCGUGAGUGGUGAAGGCCUUAGGGUUGUAAAGCUCUUUUACCCGGGAUGAUAAUGACAGUACCGGGAGAAUAAGCUCCGGCUAACUCCGUG
rnacentral:rRNA from 1 species